CCUAUACUCCCUUCGUCCGAAAAUACUUGUCAUAGAGAUGAAUGUAUCUAGACUUAUUUUAGUUAUAAUUACAUCCAUUAUAUCCAUUUUUAGGACAUGUAUUUCCGGACGGAGGGAGUACAAA
rnacentral:pre_miRNA from 1 species